CAGAAUCAGUGGGGAAAGAAGACCCUCUUGAGAUUGACUCUACUCUGACUUUGUAAAAUGACUUGAGAGGUGUAGUAUAAGUGGGAGCCGAAAGGCGAAAGUUAAAUACCACUACUUUUAACGUUAUUUUACUUAUUCCAUGAAUCGGAAGCGGGGCACUACCCCUCUUUUUGGACCCAAGGCUCGCUCUGCGGGUCAAUCUAGGCAGAAGACAUUGUUAGGUGGGGAGUUUGGUUGGGGCGGCAUAUCUGUUAAAAGAUAACGCAGGUGUUCUAAGAUGAGCUCAACGAGAACAGAAAAUCAUGUGGAAUAGAAUGGUAAAAGCUCAUUUGAUUUUGAUUUCCAGUAGGAAUACGAACCAUUAAAGUGUGGCCUAACGAUCCUUUAGACCUUCAAAAUUCGAAGUUAGAGGUGUUAGAAAAGUGUUACCACAGGGAUAACUGGCAUGUUGCAGCUAAGCGUUCAUAGCAAAGUUGCUUUUUCAUCCUUUGAUGUCGGCUCUUCCUAUCAUUGUGAAGAAGAAUUCACCAAGUAUUGGGCUGUUCACCCACCAAUAGGGGAGAUGAGCUGGGUAUAGACCGUCGUGAGACAAGUUUUACCCUACUUAUGACAGUGUCGCAGUAGUAAUUCAACCUAGUACUAGAGGAAAUGUUGAAUCACAUAAUUUGUCAUUGCACUUGGUUGAAAAGCCAGUGGUGCAAAGCAACCGUGUACUGGAUUAUGACUGAACACCUCUAAGUAAGAAUCCGAGCUAGAAGCGAUGCAUGCACCCGCUGUCCACUUGCCGACCCGCAGUAGGGGCCUCAGCCCCCAAGGGCAGGUGUCAUUUUCUAAGACACCGCGGCGGAAGAGUCGCGGUGGCCGACUUGAAGUAUAAUUUCUAUCGAACGACGGGUAGAAUCCUUUGCAAAUGACUUAAAUAUGCGGCCGGGUAUUGUAAGUGGAAGAGUGACCUUGCUGCUACGAUCCACUGAGAUACAUUCCUUUGUUGCUCCGGUUC
rnacentral:ncRNA from 1 species